GAUGAAGAACGUAGCGAAAUGCGAUAAGUAGUGUGAAUUGCAGAAUUCAGUGAAUCAUCGAAUCUUUGAACGCACAUUGCGCCCUUCGGUAUUCCGUUGGGCAUGCCUGUUCGAGCGUCAUUUAAACCUUCAAGCUCAGCUUGGUGUUGGGCCCCGCCGCCCCGGCGGGCCCUAAAGUCAGUGGCGGUGCCGUCCGGCUCCGAGCGUAGUAAUUCUUCUCGCUCUGGAGGUCCGGUCGUGUGCUCGCCAGCAACCCCCAAUUUUUUUCAGGUUGACCUCGGAUCAGGUAGGGAUACCCGCUGAACUUAAGCAUAUCAAUAAGCGGAGGA
rnacentral:misc_RNA from 1 species